GACGAACGCUGGCGGCGUGCUUAAUACAUGCAAGUCGAACGGACAGGCCCUGCUUUUGCGGGUUGCUCGAGUGGCGAACGGGUGAGUAACACGUGAGUAUCCCGCCCCUGACUUUGGGAUAACUUUUGGAAACUGGGGCUAGUAUCGGAUAGGAGCUCCUGCUGCACGGUGGGGGUUGGAAAGUUUCGGCGGUUGGGGAUGGUCUCGCGGCUUAUCAGCUUGUUGGUGGGGUAGUGGAUUACCAAGGCUUUGACGGGUAGCCGGCCUGAGAGGGUGACCGGGCACAUUAGGACUGCGGUACGGCCCAGACUCCUAUGGUAGGCAACGGUGGGAAAUAUUGCGCAAUGGGCGGAAGCCUGAUACAGCAGCGCCGCGAGCGGGAUAACGGCCUUCGAGUUGUAAACCGCUUUCGCCUGUGACAAAGCGUGAGUGACGGUAAUGGAUAAGGAAGCACCGGCUAACUACGUG
rnacentral:rRNA from 1 species